CUAGAAGUAGGAAGAGACCGUGUCUGGGCCUGGUAACUCCACCACCGUUGGCGUCGCUACCGCCAACGGGGGCCGAGUUCCUGCUCCUAGAUGCGAUAAUCAACAUGUCAAGAUU
rnacentral:precursor_RNA from 12 species